rnacentral:rRNA from 1 species
GCAUCGAUGAAGAACGCAGCUAAUUGCGCGUCAACAUGUGAACUGCAGGACACAUGAACAUCGACAUUUCGAACGCGCAUUGCGGUCCUCGGAUACUGUUCCUGGACCACGCCUGGCUGAGGGUCGUG